UGGGCUGUAGCCAAGUGGUAAGGCAGCGGAUUCUGGCUCCGCUAUGCGUAGGUUCGAAUCCUACCAGCCCAA
rnacentral:tRNA from 1 species